AUUUUUGCCCUGAGCACGGGAGAAGGAGCACCCUUGGCUGCCUUGAACUGCAGCGGCGUUCCUGCUACGCUGCAGUUCGCCUGGGAGCACGGGACAGAGAGCUUGACGGGCCUCCCUGCUAGCGCUGCCGCGCUGCACUACCGACGACGAGGGGGGGGGGUCCCUCUGGUCACGCGCUACCGUCGAGGGAAGGAGGAAGCCCCUGUUACCACCCUACCUCUAACAGCAACAACUAACACUCGUACUCUGCACGUACACGCAACAACAGCCCCCUGACGAACGCCGGCAGGGAAGACGACGACCUCGCCGCGGAUCGGGACCGGACUGAGGAGGAGGAAGCACUGGGCGGCGGGCCUCACCUUGGGGCGAAGAGGGGGCGCCGCACGGGGCGGAGGACGCCGGAGGCGAAGAAGAGGAGCCGCGCAGUUCGCCCGGUUUGCCCAGAAGACGGGGACGAGCUCGACUGGGGGGGGGGGCGGCCUCGGGGUCCUAGCGCCGGGAAUGGGACGCGGGGAGCUGCCCCGAGCCCCCGGACAUGGCGCCCAGUGCCGGAGACGACGGAUCGGCGGUUAGACGGAGGAGGCGCUGCACCCUCUCUCUCUGCUUUCUCUCAAAACUUACCA
rnacentral:lncRNA from 1 species